rnacentral:tRNA from 1 species
CAGGGGAUAGUUUAUUUAAAAUACUAGUUUUGGAGAUUAGUGAAAAGAUUGUGUUCUUUCCCUUGA